UUUAUCUAUAUAAGCAGUGAAGAUGAAAACCCAGCCUCCCAGGGCUUACUAGAAUUUAGGAAUAUAAUUAAACCCUACACCAAACAAGCCCCCAAAUUUUCAAUUAACCAUCUCUCUCAAGCAUUUGUCUCUGCAAAUGGCGAAUCAGCAACAAAUCUCCACUCGACCAUGGAUCCUUGAACUAGUUCCUCUCUUGGUGGUCAUUCUCAUAGCCGUGCACGUCAUUGCUCUUGUUUACUGGAUUUACAGGUUAGCUACGGAGAAACAGCCCCAAAGAAGAAAGAAGCACUAGAAGCUGUUCAGUUUGCAGAAAUAGAGAUGCCCAUUGCACAAUAACUGCUAUUUUGAUCAAGCUACAAUCAAACAUGAAUAUGAGGAGGCUCCAAACCACAAUAGUUCCACUGAUCAUCAUCUCAGUAUUACCGGGUUUUAGUCCCCGCCUUCAUGGGGUUGCUGGGAGGGGAAGGUUAGUAAAGAUUGGCCAGAAAGAUUGUUCAUUCCUCUAAAUUUCAUACAAACUGCGCUUGUUACUUGAUCAAGCUACAAUACAAACUUGACUAUUGUUCUUGUACAAA